GAUUUCCCUAGUAACGGCGAGUGAAGAGGAAAGAGCUCAAAGUUGGAACCUGUUUGGCUUAGCUAAACCGGAUUGUAAACUGUAGAAACAUUUUCCAGAUACACUAGACAAAAAAGUCCUUUGGAACAGGGCAUCAUAGAGGGUGAGAAUCCCGUCUUUGGUCUAAGUAGUUGUCUAUUGUGAUAUGUUUUCAAAGAGUCAGGUUGUUUGGGAAUGCAGCCUAAAUUGGGUGGUAAAUCUCACCUAAAGCUAAAUAUUUGCGAGAGACCGAUAGCGAACAAGUACCGUGAGGGAAAGAUGAAAAGAACUUUGAAAAGAGAGUUAAACAGUAUGUGAAAUUGUUAAAAGGGAACCGUUUGGAGCCAGACUGGCUUGAUUGUAAUCAACCUAGAAUUCGUUUUGGGUGCACUUGCAGUCUAUGCCUGCCAACGACAGUUUGAUUUGGAGGAAAAAAUUAAUAGGAAUGUGGCCUCUCGAGGUGUUAUAGCCUAUUAUCAUACUCUGGAUUGGACUGAGGAACGCAGUGAAUGCCUUUAGGCAAGAUUGCUGGGCGCUUUCGCUAAUAAAUGUUAGAAUUUCUGCUUCGGGUGGUGCUAAUGUUUAAAGGAGGAACUCGUUUAGUAUAUUUUUUAUUCGCUUAGGUUGUUGGCUUAAUGACUCUAAAUGACCCGUCUUGAAACACGGACCAA
rnacentral:rRNA from 1 species